GAAAUUUGUUCUGGGGCUAGAUUGAACGCUGGCGGCAGGCCUAACACAUGCAAGUCGAACGGUAACAGGAAGCAGCUUGCUGCUUUGCUGACGAGUGGCGGACGGGUGAGUAAUGUCUGGGAAACUGCCUGAUGGAGGGGGAUAACUACUGGAAACGGUGGCUAAUACCGCAUAACGUCGCAAGACCAAAGAGGGGGACCUUCGGGCCUCUUGCCAUCAGAUGUGCCCAGAUGGGAUUAGCUUGUUGGUGAGGUAACGGCUCACCAAGGCGACGAUCCCUAGCUGGUCUGAGAGGAUGACCAGCCACACUGGAACUGAGACACGGUCCAGACUCCUACGGGAGGCAGCAGUGGGGAAUAUUGCACAAUGGGCGCAAGCCUGAUGCAGCCAUGCCGCGUGAUGAAGAAGGCCUUCGGGUUGUAAAGUACUUUCAGCGGGGAGGAAGGUGUUGUGGUUAAUAACCGCAGCAAUUGACGUUACCCGCAGAAGAAGCACCGGCUAACUCCGUGCCAGCCGCCGCGGUAAUU
rnacentral:rRNA from 1 species